rnacentral:rRNA from 1 species
AUAAGAUCCCCACGCUAUUACUAAGCGUGUCCACUGUUGCACCAUCCACCCCGCCCGAUCCACUCCCAACCCACCUCUCUCUCUCUCUCAUCCCUAAAAAACUCUCUCACGAACUCACCUGCUCCUCUCCCACGAUCUCCUCGCCGCCGCCACCACCCACGCCGGUUACGCGCAACACUCCCCAUGGAAGCCACCGCCGCCGCCUCCCUCGCGUGGACCCUCACCUCCUCGCCGCUCCCCCGCGGCUCCCGCCGUAGCCGUGGCGCCGGAGCGGCGGAGGAGGGGUAGGGCAGUGCUCGCCGCGGCGGCCUCGACGGGCAACUACGUGGUCCGCCAGAGAAAUUGCGCAGGCGGCAACGAAGCCCUGCGCAGGGGCGGCUAAUUAAGGGGUCGCCGGGAGCCCGUGAACCGCCGCGAGGGAUGCGAGAUCCCAGCGGGAGCCGGCGGAGGAGGGCCCGCCGGACUCGCCAAGGAGACGCGGCCUACCUCCUCCAUGCGGGGAAUCACCUCGAGGUAAGAAGCAAAUAGCACAUGCAGGAGGUAAGAAGCAAACGAAUGUGUGUGCUCUUUCCUUCUUACCCUCGAGCCGACUCCCGGAACCACAUCGAGUUGGAUUUCCAAUUGCACGCACCUACCUACAAAGGUUUGUUUGUUCGGGUCGAUUGUAUUACGAGUUCUCCAUUGCUGUGUUCUCAGAUCUGACCCCUGCUAUGAGAAUGAACAGGGACACAAAUGAUGAUUUUGUAGAGCGUGGUAGCCGAUUAAUUGUCCCAAAAUCAAAGUAGAUGUGCCACGCCGUAUUAGACUAUUUCUAUUUUUCUGCAUUUUUUGGAGGUGUCCGGAAGAUAGAAUGUAACUGCAGAAUUCAACUACCGCAUUUUGGCGAACACCUAUUCGGUAGUUCAGAUGAACCAAGAUUAGAUCACUCACACCGGUUUUACAGGUUUUUCUUUUGUUCACUGUAUUUAAUAAAAUUGGCGACAAUGGAAGGCCUCUCGUGCAUAGAUUAUCUGAAACCAUUUCAAUGUAUGGCCGACUGUGGAAUCUUUCUCUCAUCCUAUGGUCAACUCUUGGGUUCUCACAGCCUCAUUUGCCUUACUAGCUGGAAAUGAUUAGCCUGAUGUAGUUUGUCCCCUCGGUUAUUUCACUCUGUUAAAAGAAUGUGCCUUUGUCAGGCCACUCUAGUUUGUACUGUUGUUGCUGAGGCAUACCCAAUUCUUGAUUAGCAAGCUAACUUUGUCUUAAUCAGCAUGGUCAUCAACGAAUAGAUGAGCUAUCAGUUAGUAGCGGUAAUACGAGAAAAAUAAGGAACCGACAGAAAGGAUAGGAAGUAGCUAUCUGAAUUAGAAACCUGAUACAGUAGAAGAUAAUGUGUUUUGUUCAUCGGAGGUUAGUUUAUAUCUACGUGUUUUGUUCCCCUAUCUUCAAAUGUUAUGUAGUCACUCAGUUAGCAGUUUCUUAACUGUUGUAGUAAAUAAUUAAUUUCCAUAAUUGCUUCAUUUGCUCUUCUGCAGAAGCCCAGUUAUACACUUUACGCGAUGAAAUUCACAGCAAUACAGUUCAUCAACCUAUUUAUUGUGCCAUCUUGGAAUAAUGUUCGUGGAGUAGCUUAUCUCGUCAAGGCAACUCCUUAUCUUAAAAGACUCCGGCUAGAAGUUCAGUGAGUUUGGAACCGAUGGGGGACAACAGCAAAGUCUCUGAAGCCGAAGUUCAACCUCUUUGUCAAGCAGGUGUCCGCCAGCAUUGGGAUGGCAGAGCCACACAUUGAUAUCAAGUCUUUCAUUGCCUUUACCGUGUUUCUUAAAGCCUUUGGUGGUCUCCUUUUCAUCAUCAGCAGCUCGUUCGAAGCAUUCGUACCGGUCUCCGCCAGCAUUGGGAAUUUGGGAUGGCAGUGCCACACAUUGAUAUCAAGUCUGUCAUUGCCUUUACCAUGUUUCUUAAAGCCUUUGGUGGUCUCCUUUUCAUCAGCAACAACUCGUUCGGAGCGGUCGUACUGGGCAAUGGAUAAAAUCUACUCUGGAUAGUUGAAGAGGGAGUACAUGCUAAGUUGACUUUUUUUCCCUACGGAUUUGCUUAUCGUGAAGAUGCUUGCAAGGAUGCAAGAGGGAGCGGAUCAUUUGGAGAGAUAGGAUGCCACUGUUUGGUGUUUUUAUGUAUGUUGGUUUGCUUGUAACUGUGUUUGCACUUGCUGGAAGUAAGUGACUUGGCAAGAAGUGUAGGUGUUUUAAUUGAAGGCAUGAAAAGCCAUGACAAUAUGUAUGCUCUUAUAGGAUGUGCUCUAAUGCCGUUGGUUUAUUAUAAAUCUUGGAUUAGUAAUGAUGUGUAAUGUUGCUGGUUUAUUGCAAAUAUGUGUUUGUUUUAG